rnacentral:rRNA from 1 species
GAUGAACGCUGGCGGCGUGCCUAAUACAUGCAAGUCGAGCGAACGGACGAGGAGCUUGCUUCUCUGAUGUUAGCGGCGGACGGGUGAGUAACACGUGGAUAACCUACCUAUAAGACUGGGAUAACUUCGGGAAACCGUAGCUAAUACCGGAUAAUAUUUUGAACCGCAUGGUUCAAAAGUGAAAGACGGUCUUGCUGUCACUUAUAGAUGGAUCCGCGCUGCAUUAGCUAGUUGGUAAGGUAACGGCUUACCAAGGCAACGAUGCAUAGCCGACCUGAGAGGGUGAUCGGCCACACUGGAACUGAGACACGGUCCAGACUCCUACGGGAGGCAGCAGUAGGGAAUCUUCCGCAAUGGGCGAAAGCCUGACGGAGCAACGCCGCGUGAGUGAUGAAGGCCUUCGGAUCGUAAAACUCUGUUAUUAGGGAAGAACAUAUGUGUAAGUAACUGUGCACAUCUUGACGGUACCUAAUCAGAAAGCCACGGCUAACUACGUG